CUGACGCAAACGUUGGGUACUGUCACAAAUGUCACGUUUGUGACAGUGCCCCACUGAUGCAAAUGUCAACUUGGUUUGCGUCAUAGGAUUCCGCGUCACAUAUAAAACUGACGCAAAAAAUCAAUUGUGGCAGUUAGAAACUGACGCAAAUGACCUUUUUUGUAGUAGUGAGUGAAUUAUAUUUUAACAAUACAUCACUAAUUUGACACUCCAUUGAAGAUGCUCUAGAAACACUGAUUGAGCUAAUUCAAGAUAAUGAAGAAAAGCACUCAAAAGCACUCUUUGAAGAUCUUGGAAAACACCCUACUGAAGCUUACAGAGAUGAGAUUGGGGUAAUGUUAAAAUCGGCAGACUACUUUGAGCAACAUUCAGAAAUGGGCAGCUCUUAAAAAGACGUCACUGGAUGUUAGUGAUCAUUGCCAGAUAAUCACAUGUAUUACUAUCUCGAUCCACUUA